ensembl:snRNA U4 U4 spliceosomal RNA
AGAUUUGCACAGCGGCAGUAUUAUAGCCAAUGAGCUUUAUCUGAGGUGCAAUUAUUGCUAAUUAAAAGCAAGCAAUGAGGAAAACCCACAGUAUUUGGGGAUUAUUUCUUCCAGAAUUCUAAUUCUAAGUAUUCUUACAUAAGC